AUGGCGGAUGCCUAGGCUCACGGAGGCGAUGAAGGACGUGAUAAGCUGCGAUAAGCUUCGGGUAGGUGCAAAUAACCCUUGAUCCGAAGAUUUCCGAAUGGGACAACCUAGCCGUCUGAAGGACGGUUACUCAAUCUUCAAGGUUGAGAGCUAACGCAGGGAACUGAAACAUCUUAGUACCUGCAGGAAGAGAAAAUAAAUGAAUGAUUCCCCCAGUAGUGGCGAGCGAACGGGGAACAGCCCAAACCAGUGGCGUCGCAAGGCGUGGCUGGGGUUGUAGGACCGCGACAUUGUACUGAAAUGGUGAGUGGAAGUAUCUGGAAAGUUACAUCACAGAAGGUGAUAAUCCUGUACACGAAGCCAGAUCAGGCAUAGCGGUAUCCUGAGUAACGCGGGACACGAGGAAUCCUGCGCGAAUCUGCCGGGACCAUCCGGUAAGGCUAAAUACUCCCGUGAGACCGAUAGCGAACGAGUACUGUGAAGGAAAGGUGAAAAGAACCCCGAGCAGGGGAGUGAAAUAGUUCCUGAAACCAUACGCCUACAAGCGGUCGGAGCACAGCAAUGUGUGACGGCGUGCCUUUUGCAUAAUGAUCCUACGAGUUACCGUCACUGGCGAGGUUGAGUGUCACGAGACACGUAGCCGCAGUGAAAGCGAGCCUGAAGAGGGCGCACAGUCAGUGGGGGUAGACGCGAAACCAAGUGAUCUACACUUGGCCAGGAUGAAGUCCCGGUAACACGGGAUGGAGGUCCGCACCAAUAAGCGUUGAAAAGCUUCUGGAUGAGCCGAGUGUAGGAGUGAAAGGCCAAUCAAACUUGGAGAUAGCUCGUACUCCCCGAAAGGCAUUUAGGUGCCGCGUCGGAUGGUCACCGUGAGAGGUAGAGCGACCGAUAGGACAAGAGGGCUUCACCGCCUAUCGAGUCCUGACGAACUCCGAAUGCUCACGGUCUGCAGUCCGGCAGUAAGGGGGCGGGUGCUAAGGUCCGUCCCCGAGAGGAGAAGAAUCCAGACCGCCGUCUAAGGUCCCGGAGUUCUGCCUGAGUUAGUCUAACGAAGUCUGGUCCCUAUGACAGCUAGGAUGUUGGCUUGGAAGCAGCCAUUCAUUCAAAGAGUGCGUAACAGCUCACUAGUCGAGGGUCCGGGCAUGGAUAAUAAUCGGGUAUAAGGCAGACACCGAAGGCGCGGGAUAGCAUUAAAGAAAGUAUCGGUAGGGGAGCAUACUCACAGCGUCGAAUGGUGUACGUAAGUUAUCCUGGAGCGGUGAGUAAAGCAAAUGUAGGAAUAAGUAACGAUAAGGAGGGUUAGAUUCCCUCCCGCUGUAAGACCAAGGUUUCCCGGGCAAUGCCAAUCAGCCCGGGGUCAGUCGGGUCCUAAGUCUAAGCCGAACGGCGAUGGCGAUGGCAGAGACGGUUAAUAUUCCGUCACUGCCGCAUGGGGCGACGUGGAGACGGAGCAGUGAAACCACCGCGGGGCGACGGAAGUCCCCGUUGAAGGGUGUAGGCGUUGAGGAUGGCAGGCAAAUCCACCAUCCGAGCUGAACCUGACAGUACGGAGUCCUCCUCGGAGGAAUCUGAUAGUGUGGGUAAUCAUACUCCCGAGAAAAUCCGCUAAGCUUAACCCAUGCGGCACCCGUACCGCAAACGGACACACGUGGUCGGGUAGAACAUACUAAGGCGUUGAGAGAUUCAUGGUUAAGGAACUAGGCAAAUUGACCCUGUAACUUCGGGAUAAAGGGUCCUCGUGAUGAGCGAGGCGCAGAGAAUAGGUCCAGGCAACUGUUUAACAAAAACACAGGGCUGUGCAAACUCGAAAGAUGACGUAUACAGCCUGACACCUGCCCGGUGCCGGAAGGUUAAGAGGAGAUGUCACUCGCAAGAGGAAGCAUUGAAUUGAAGCCCCGGUAAACGGCGGCCGUAACUAUAACGGUCCUAAGGUAGCGAAAUUCCUUGUCGGGUAAGUUCCGACCUG
rnacentral:rRNA from 1 species